AAAAGUUGCACAUUACAUUUUGCUGAUGUGGUUUGUAAAGUAUCAGCUGCUUCUGACAUGAACUGGUGACAACGCAAACAUCUGAGGAACGUUAUCUAACUGUUCGUUAACGUGUUGUCGAUGUGUUUCGCUUUAGAAUGGCCUCAAUCACUUAACAUCAGUUCCCGCAUAUAGUUUAUGAGAUGAUCUCUUGUUUACUCAAUAAGACACUCUCCAGCACAGGUAAGCUAGUUAGCUAGCUAAGGUAGGCAUAACUUAUGUCGCUACGAGAGUGCCUUUGGGCUUCAACGAAAACUGAAGAUCCAGGAGAAGAGUUGUGAGGAGACAUCAACAGGUUGUGCGGGGAUGGACUUUGUCAUCACGGUCCUGGUGACUGGAGGGGCAGGUUUCAUUGGGUCCCAUUUUGUCUGCUCCCUAGUCAACAGGCAUCCAGAUUGGCGUAUCAUCAACUUUGACAAUCUGGACUACUGUUCCAAUCUCAGGAACCUGGAGUCUGUAGAGGAGAAUGAGAACUACACCUUUAUCAGGGGGGAUGUAUGCAAUCCAUGCUUGUUAAAACACGUUUGCCACAGAAAACAUCGACAUCGUCUUUCACUUUGCGGCUCAAACACGUUGAGACGUCCUUCAUAUGGCCGUCCAGAUACCACAUGGUGAACGUGGAGGGGACAAGGGUGCUACUGAAAGCAGCUUCUGAGGCCAAGGUGGAGAAGUUUAUUUUAAUUAGUACAGAUGAGGUGUAUGGAGAGAGUCUGUAUAAGGAAUUAGAUGAAACCAGCCCAAGAAGACCCAGCAAUCCAUACUCUGUGUCUAAAGCAGCUACUGAGUGUCUUGUAUUGUCCUACAGGGAGAGACACAAGGUAGUAAAUACUGUCAACAGACAUACCACAAUUAGAACCAAGUUUUUCUGUGAGGCAUGUAUACAUUUUUGUAUUAUUUUGUAUUAAUAUUUGGCUUUUUCUUUCAGUUUCCUGUUAUAAUAACAAGGAGCAAUAAUGUAUAUGAACCCAAACAGUACUUGGAGAAGGUCAAUAUAGUAUCUAUAUCAGUGGUUCCCAACCUUUUUUGGUUACUGUACCACCAACUGAAUUUUGCUCUGCCCGGAGUACCUCUGAAGUACCCCCUAAUGUGCAUUUUACCAGUAACCCUAUGGUUUCAUGAGUCUUCAAGUACCCCUAGGGGUCCUAGUACCCCUGGUUGUGAACCACAGGUCUAUAUAUUUCUGUUGUGUCUGAUCUUUUAAGCUGCCUCAACAAUUAUUAUUUUUUUUUACCCCCAGGUCAUUCCAAAAUGCGUGUCCUUCCUUCAGCUAAACAAAAAAUGUACCAUCCAAGGGACCAGCCCCCAAUCUCGCCACUUCCUCUACGUGGAUGAUGCCAUUGAAGCAUUCCACACCAUCCUGGAGAGGGGGAUGGUGGGAGAAACCUACAACAUCGGGACCGACUUCAAGAUAUCCAUCAUUCAACUAGCCAGAGAACUUAUCAAGAUGGAAGGAUAUGCAUCAUUCAACUAGCCAGAGAACAUAUCAAGAUGGCCAGUGGUUAACCUGAGGUACCCUGUGAGAAGCUGUGGAGGCUGGGCUGGAAGCCUGCAGUGUCAUGGGCAGAGGACAUCAGAAGGACAGUCAAAUGGUACCAAGAUAAUCCAGACUUCUGGCCAGAUGUCAAACCAGAAGACCAACCAAAUACCUUUGAGCCUGAUACCAGAGACCAAUAAGCACAUAGAUCUGCUUCCUGUAUUCAUGGUCACCAACCCUGUUCCUGGAGAGCUACAGGGUGUGCUGGCUUUUGUUCCAGCCCUGUAUUAACACAACUGGUUCAAUUCAUCAGUCUUAAUUAGGGUUGUUGACCUCCACUAGUCAAACCAUCUCAAUCACUGUGGGUGUGUAAGGGAACCCUUAUUUUUGUAAAUGUUUUACUAAUGAAGGUGGAAUGUAAUAUAUUUAUCAUAGUCAAUAAAUAACUUUAUAGCGCA